UACGUAGGGGGCAAGCGUUGUCCGGAUUUAUUGGGCGUAAAGAGCUCGUAGGCGGUUUGUCGCGUCUGCUGUGAAAACCUAAGGCUCAACCUUGGGCUUGCAGUGGGUACGGGCAGACUGGAGUACUGCAGGGGAGACUGGAAUUCCUGGUGUAGCGGUGGAAUGCGCAGAUAUCAGGGAGGAACACCGGUGGGCGAAGGCGGG
rnacentral:rRNA from 1 species